rnacentral:rRNA from 1 species
UACGUAGGGGGCAAGCGUUAUCCGGAUUUACUGGGUGUAAAGGGAGCGUAGGCGGUGGUGCAAGUCAGAAGUGAAAGCCCGCAGCUCAACUGCGGGACUGCUUUUGAAACUGUAUGACUAGAUUGCAGGAGAGGUAAGUGGAAUUCCUAGUGUAGCGGUGAAAUGCGUAGAUAAUAGGAGGAACACCAGUGGCGAAGGCGGCUUACUGGACUGUAAAUGACGCUGAGGCUCGAAAGCGUGGGGAGCAAACAGG